GAAGAAUGAAAAAUGGUGGAGGGCAGAUAAGAACCUCCGAGGAUCAAGCUCACGGUUAAAGCUGCGUACAGGACGCCCGGUGGUUCACCUGGUUGAGCAGAGUCCUACUGCAGCAGCCACAGGAUUACAGCAGAUCCAGCUUCCUUCCUGCUUCUUACUCGCACUCCUCAGGAAUCCAAGCUCCUUCCACCGCUGCUCCGGAUGAGUCCGACCAAAAUGCAAAUGUAAAUUCUUGCACGAGGAGGCCAGAGGUCGGAGUCGGCAUUCAGUGCCUUGCUGAAGGGCCCUUGAGCAAGGAGGUUUGAACCCGAGUCCUCCAGCGGAAGAACCUCUCCUUGCUCCGCACUCAAGGCCAAACUACUAACCAGGGGAAAGUUAAAUAAAUAAAAUGAAAGAAGCAUAAAUAAUCACUGGUGAGCACAGAGCAGCAUCGUAUUCUGAUUUCAAUGUGGGGGAAAUGAAGGAAAGGAGGAGAGGAGGAGAGGAGGAGAGGAGGAG